GAUGAACGCUGGCGGUAUGCCUAACACAUGCAAGUCGAACGAAUCUUUCGAGAUUAGUGGCGGACGGGUGAGUAACGCGUGAGAAUCUGCCUUCAGGAUGGGGACAACAGUUGGAAACGACUGCUAAUACCGAAUAUGCCGAGAGGUGAAAAAAAUUUGCCUGAAGAGGAGCUCGCGUCCGAUUAGCUAGUUGGUGGGGUAAAGGCCUACCAAGGCAGCGAUCGGUAGCUGGUCUGAGAGGAUGAGCAGCCACACUGGGACUGAGACACGGCCCAGACUCCUACGGGAGGCAGCAGUGGGGAAUUUUCCGCAAAUGGGGCGAAAGCCUGACGGAGCAAUACCGCGUGAGGGAGGAAGGCUCUUGGGUUGUAAACCUCUUUUUCUAAGGAAGAAAAAAUAGACGGUACGUUGAAGAAUAAGACAUACGGCUAACUCCGUGCCAGCAGCCGCGGU
rnacentral:rRNA from 1 species